AUAAUACACAUCUUUUAACGUUGAAUGACGUUGGAACAGAGACCUUAUUAGAUGCUUGAAAUCAUAUAUUGAGAGAGAGAGAGAAAGAGAGUUAAGUAAUAGGUGAAUUGGUGAGAAAUACGUGUACCUUUCAUCCAUCGUGUCCAGAUGAUUGAUGACUUCCAUCUCAAUCUAGCACCUCCACGACCACCCGGAUGUAAAUUUUAAGAACAUAUAACUUGAGUAAUCGACACAUACAAAAAUUGUAUAAUUACGCAGAAAAAAAUAUUUUUUCUACAAAUUACAUGCUUGAAAAUUUUAUAAUUGAUUGAAUAAAUGAUGAAUGAUUGAAUAAAUAUUGAACACUUUUUCUGCAAAGUUAUAUCGUAUUGAUUGGUCAGAAUUAUAAGCGUUUUUACAUAUUGAAGGAGUGGAACAGAAUGAAGGGAAAAGUAAGGCGACUCUAUAUUAUUUCAAUAUAUUGAAUUUUAUUACAAAAUGUUUGUAUUUAGGCUACAACAUGUAAUAUAAUAAUUGCGUUUGGUCUAGACCCUUAUCAAAAAAAAAAAAAGCUAAACUGCACCACGUUUACUAUUGUCUUAACGAGCCAGUUUCGCCAGUUUACGCCUCGAGAAGAGACCCACAAGAGGAAGAGCAGAGAGACAAGAGACACACGUAAAUGCUACAAAAGUUGCCAUGCACGUUAUUAAAAUUAAAACAGCCCAUGCUCAUGUCGCUAUCCAGAAUCGUUCAACGUUUCUGUAGCUGCAGCAAUUGUUCGCAAAUAUAUCCGUAACACAUCAGAGAAUAUACGUAAAAUACAUAUAUCUGAAAUAUCGAUAAAUAAACCGAUCGAAUAUAUUGGUAAUUUAAAUUGAUGCGUACAUAAUUUCCAUAUAUAUUCAAUCGUACAUAUUCGAAUAAUUUCACUAAAUGCAAACAGUGUCACCCAUAAAACCUGCGGAUUUUUGUCCAAAAGAACAUACUCUAUACCUCGGAACUGGAAUGACAAAUAUUUCGUAGUCUAAAGACGCAAAGAACGAUCAAAGAGUUCAACAUAUUGAUAUGUAAGUCAGGCAAAAAUUAAAAUAAGGAAAGUGUCUUGAGAAGAAAACGAAGAACGAUAUGAUUUGGAUGUACAUAAAAUAUAAUAAGAUUGUAUAUUUUUUCAUGUUUAUAUUUUAUAUAUUAUAUAAAUAUGUAUAUGUAUGUAUAAAUAUAUAUUCAUAAAAAAUUAAUUAAUCAAAUUAAUUAAUAUAUAAUAAAUCAAAGUAAUUAAUCAAAUUAAUUCCCUAAUUAGCUGAAAGUAAUUUCAAUUAUUUGUGUGAUUAUUUGUGUGAUUAUUUCUUCCAAAUAUUUCCAAAUCAUAUCUACUGUCUUUGUAGCCACAAAACAUUCGUCGUUCUAAUACCGAUAUACGUUUCACUAAUAUCCGAUUUUCAAUACACGAACGAAACACCUUGUUGCUUUCCUCCGUACGAAUCACCAUCGAGAUAUGAGAUCGCAGGAUAUUCCUGCCAAUUGCACGCUAAACAGAAAAAGGAGGAAGCAGUAAGCGAUAUUACACGACAGAGCUGACUUUUUCGAGGCGCAGUCUGAAGAUCGGCGGCUCUAAAGACAUGCUGUGUCUAAAGAAGAAGACGAUAGUGAUUGUACAUCGAACUGCGUACAAC